UACGGAGGGAGCUAGCGUUGUUCGGAUAUACUGGGCGUAAAGCGCACGUAGGCGGCGCAGCAAGUCAGGGGUGAAAUCCCGGAGCUCAACUCCGGAACUGCCUUUGAAACUGCAGUGCUAGAAUCCUGGAGAGGCGAGUGGAAUUCCGAGUGUAGCGGUGGAAUGCGUAGAGAUCCGGAAGAACACCGGUGGCGAAGGCGGCCUGCUGGGCAGUAGCUGACGCUGAUGCGCGACAGCGUGGGGAGCAAACAGG
rnacentral:rRNA from 1 species